GUGCUCGAGUGGCGAACGGGUGAGUAACACGUGAGUAACCUGCCCUCGACUUUGGGAUAACUUCAGGAAACUGGGGCUAAUACCGGAUAGGAGCUCCUGCCGCAUGGUGGGGGUUGGAAAGUUUCGGCGGUUGGGGAUGGACUCGCGGCUUAUCAGCUUGUUGGUGGGGUAGUGGCUUACCAAGGCUUUGACGGGUAGCCGGCCUGAGAGGGUGACCGGCCACAUUGGGACUGAGAUACGGCCCAG
rnacentral:rRNA from 1 species